AUCAGACUACAAAAGUUAAUCACAGCCAGAUAAAUGAAAUAAUAGGCCUACUUAAAACAGAGAUACAACCGUAUGUAGGUGGAUAUAUUUUUUAUUUAAAUUAUGAAUCUUGAUGUUGUUAGUGAUAUAUAGUCACGUCCAAUAUCUGCAAAAACUAUUAAGAUGAUCAGAAACAGUUCAUUUUGUGAGAAAACGUCAUAAUGCAAAAAUGUAUAGAUACUUCCAAUUGCAGAACAAAAAGCAAUUCCAAGGGAAUUUGCGUAUUGCAACCUGUAUAACGCAAAAAAAAAAAAACUGUUUCCAACUACAACUGAGUGGCGUUGUUGCGCCGGCUGGAGAGAAGAUGUGUCCCUUUUCACAUAGAGCGAGCCAGGAAAAGCUGUAAAAUGCACAGACAAACAGACUCCUUUACGAAGCAACGAAGACAAGAGGCUCUUGCGGAAAAAUGUAAAGAUAGGCUACGAUGUUCCCGUUUAUAGUGUAGCAAUUCCACUGUUACAACCCGAGCUCCAUAUAUCAGGAGAGCAGCUGGAUUUGAGAAGCAUCCCCCGGUUUCCACUCACUUUUCUUGGCAUGCCUUUGGAGCUCGAUCUCGGUUUUUUUUGCUCCGUUUUUCACGCUCAUGAACGCCAAUACACGGAGACAGGGGCACGGCUGGUCCACAUCAGCGCUAUGGCUUUAUUUAAAUACACCUAGUCUACAUGACGCAUUGCUGUCAGACGGCACGGCUUUAUGUCAAAAUAAAUCUGAAGAAAAAAAAGUAAGAAAUCAAAUAAUUGCAGGAAGAUGGCGCCCACCAAACCUAGCAUUCAGCAAGACCCUACAAGAAGAGAACGGGAAAUUAAAACCCUACACCCUUUCUGCAUGGAGGGAUCAGAGGAGGAGGCCAUAGUUGAUGCCCAAUUCAUGUCCAAAUUCCCCCAGUAAGUUGGAAGUCUUAUUUCACACAUUCAUUUAGGACAUUAAGUGGUUUUAAAACAUUGUUUAUUUAUAUCACCAAGGUCAUUUUGAGUGCCUGCGUAGAUUUUCAUGUCCUUUGAUACUUGUUAGCCUGACAUAGUGCUGCGUAUGAAACCAAGUCAAUAAACGGAGCAGCACUAAACCUCUUUGAAGAGAAAGUGAGAUAGAGAGAGAGAGAGAGAGAGAGAGAGAGAUAGUGAGAGAGAGAGAGCGAGAGAGAGAGAGACAGAGAGAGAGAGAGAGAGAGAGAGAGAGAGAGAGAGAGAGAGAGAGAGAGAGAGAGAGAGAGAGAGAGAAGCAUUAGCUGAUGAAUGAGGGGCUUGUAGUCAUGUUGCACUUUGUCCGAUU
rnacentral:lncRNA from 1 species